ensembl:lncRNA
CCAUUAGAGUUUUUCUUAUCCAAGACUCGCUUAUCCAAGGUUCUAGAUUAUCCAAUGCUUUUUUGUAGUCAAUGUUUUCAAUAUAUCGUGAUAUUUUGGUGCUAAAUUCAUAAAUACAGUAAUUACAACAUAACAUUACUGCGUACUGAACUACUUUUUCUGUCAAAUUUGUUGUAAAACAUGUUUUGGUGCUUAAUUUGUAAAAUCAUAACCUAAUUUGAUGUUUAAAAGUCUUUUCCUUAAUCCCUCCUUAUUAUCCAACAUAUUUGCUUAUCCAAGGUUCUGCCUGCUCAUUUAGCUUGGAUAAGUGAGACUCUACUGCAUAUAAUCCACAAUUAUCUGGGUUUGAACUGGGUUAUCGGAGUCCACAGUGCCAUAUACUCCAGUUCGAUGUGGAUUUUAUACAGCUGUGUGGAAGGGGCCCCAGAGGCAUCCUUGGUGCUUCAUAUUAUUCCUCAACCUAUAAAGUUGGUGAAUAUGAGCUUGCUGGGUUGUAUUUCACUUUAGUCCUAGCCAGCCUAGCUAGUGGUGAAGGAGUUGUAGUCCAAUGUAAGGUAGAAGGUUACACAUUCUAAAUGUUGGCGCUACUGACUGACUGACUCUCACUACCCGCCCUUCUUCUUCUUCUUCGUCGUCGUCGUCUUCUUCCUCCACGCGUGGCCCGCGCGCCUCCCUCCCUCAGGAGAGACGCAAAUCUCUCAUCGGCCCUGAGCAGGAGAGGACUCCGCCGUCGCGCGCCCUCCUCUCUGCUUCCCUCGGGAGGCAGGCCACGCGCCAGGGACGCCAACGGCACCGGCACGCGCGCACCCGCUCAGGGCAGGAGGAAGGGAGCGCGUGCGUGCGUCCGAAGGGGAGGGGGCGCCCCCCUCCCCCCCAAUCCCUAUCCUUUCCCUCUCGCGCUCGGGCGUCCGAGGCUUAGGGCUGGGCUGCAGGCGAGCAGCGAGGCAGGCAGGCGGGCGGGCGGCAAGGCACGCACGCACGCGCCAGCCAGCGCGAGGCGAAGGAUGCUCCCGUCGCCAUGGCAGCGGCGGCGGCGGCACCAGCAGCGUUGAGAGCAAGAAGAGUUUUUUAAACCCUGAGUUGCCAAGGAACUAUGGGAAAAUAAUUAACCCUUCCUACAAUUCUCGUCUGGCUAUCUACAGAUUCCAAACCAUAGCAGAGAAUUCUUGCUGAGCUCAAGGAGUUGGCAGGUGAACAUGUUAGGCUCCUCUGAUGACUGGAGUGCUCCCUGGCCAGCUCAGGCAUUUGGUGAUGGAUAUCUAGUAUUGUGACUUGUGAGAACCAGGCUUUACAGCUUCUUCUCUUCCCUUCAUAUAUCCAUUGUCUUUCAGAGAGAGGCAAAGCUGAGUGGGCUGUUAAAGAAAGGUAAUAAUUUUUAAUUAUGUGAAGGAGACAGAGAGAAAGAAAGAGAAGGAAAGACAGGAAGCAACAGGGGGAAGUGGUGACCGUAAUUAAAUCUGUUUCUGCCCCUUCUUUACCUUGUACUUUAAAAAAAAUCUUAUCGUAUUUAUUUUGAAGAUAUAUAUCUUGCUUCCCUGUGUGUUUGAGGCAGCUCAAAACUCCGUAAAAACAAAUUGCAACAAAACAAUCUAAAAUAGAUAUUUAAUACAAUUUUUUUAAAAACCCCAGUAGCACAAAUUCAGAUCCUAUCUCCUCUGCAAAUCCUUGCAGGAGCAAACCCUCAUACUCCAAAAGAAUGACAGUUCAUAUCAACAGCAAAUUGGUAAUUGCUUAGGCCAAUGCUAAAACGGAUUUAACACAUACCAACUGAAGGCCAUAAACAACUAGGCUUAUAUUUUCAUGGGGAAAAAAAAUCUAAACUGGAUAAUGAAGUACAGACUAACAUCCUUGUAAGUAGACCUGCAUCUGUAAAAAUUGGAAGGAUCCUUCAGUUCAGUGCAGAUGCUAACUUUCCCUUAAAAACAAAAAUGGGUUUUCACAGAUAAUCCAGAAAUCUAGUUUCCCCCCAUUGUUCCUCUGUUUUCUAUGCAUUUUAUUAAAAAGAAAAUCUGGAAUUAAAUUCAGUAUAGAAUUCAAUAUAAAAGAAAGUAAUCUAAGAAUAAGAAUGGGGGAAGAGAAGACAUGAAUCAAAAGAAGGAUAAUUAAGAUAUCAGAAGGAGAGGUAAGGACAUUCAACAGUGUAACAAAGAAUAGUGCAAGAUGUCUCCCAGAUGUUAUGUCUACAUUUCUCUCCUAUUUCCCUUUGGUAGCUGAUAAAAUAGCAAUACUGGCUCCUCUACAACACUCUGGUGCGUAAUCCUUUGUGGUGCUUUCUAGAG